rnacentral:rRNA from 1 species
AUUGAACGCUGGCGGAAUGCUUUACACAUGCAAGUCGAGCGGCAGCGCGGGGGCAACCCUGGCGGCGAGCGGCGAACGGGUGAGUAAUACAUCGGAACGUGUCCUUAAGUGGGGGAUAGCUCGGCGAAAGCCGGAUUAAUACCGCAUAAGCUCUGAGGAGGAAAGCGGGGGCUCCGUAAGGACCUCGCGCUGUUGGAGCGGCCGAUGUCGGAUUAGCUAGUUGGUGGGGUAAAGGCCCACCAAGGCGACGAUCCGUAGCUGGUCUGAGAGGAUGAUCAGCCACACUGGAACUGAGACACGGUCCAGACUCCUACGGGAGGCAGCAGUGGGGAAUUUUGGACAAUGGGGGCAACCCUGAUCCAGCCA